AGGGUUUGAUCCUGGCUCAGAGCGAACGUUGGCGGCGUGGAUUAGACAUGCAAGUCGAGCGGUCCUGAGUAAUCGGGAUAGCGGCAAACGGGUGAGUAACGCGUGGAUAACCUGCCCUUAAGACGGGGAUAACUUCGCGAAAGCGGAACUAAUACCCGAUAAUUUUUUCCGGUGCAUACCGGAAAGACAAAAGUGCCCUUUUAGGGUUUCGCUUAAGGAUGGAUCCGCGUCCUAUCAGCUAGUUGGUAAGGUAACGGCUUACCAAGGCAGAGACGGGUAGCUGGUCUAAGAGGACGACCAGCCACAUGGGGACUGAGACACGGCCCCGACUCCUACGGGAGGCAGCAGUCGAGAAUUUUCCCCAAUGGGCGCAAGCCUGAGGGAGCGACGUCGCGUGUGGGAUGAAGGUCUUCGGAUUGUAAACCACUGUCAGGGAAGAUGAAUACGCCUUUGGCGGGUGACAGUACUCCCAGAGGAAGCCACGGCUAACUCCGUGCCAGCAGCCGCGGUAAUACGGAGGUGGCAAGCGUUGCUCGGAUUUACUGGGCGUAAAGGGUGCGUAGGCGUCCCUUUAGGUUUCGGGUGAAAGUCCAUAGCUCAACUAUGGAAUUGCCUGAAAAACCGUUGGGAUUGAGGCCGGAAGAGGAAGGUGGAAUUCCCAGUGUAGCGGUGAAAUGUGUGGAUAUUGGGAAGAACACCAGUGGCGAAGGCGGCCUUCUGGGCCGGUUCUGACGCUGAGGCACGAAAGCUAGGGGAGCGAACAGGAUUAGAUACCCUGGUAGUCCUAGCUGUAAACGAUGGACACUAGGUGCUUCUGACAUAUGGUUGGGGGUGCCGUAGUUAACGCGUUAAG
rnacentral:rRNA from 1 species